CUGGCGGCAUGCUUACACAUGCAAGUCGAACGGUAACAGGCCGCUGUGAUCCCUUCGGGGUGAACUUGGCGCUGACGAGUGGCGGACGGGUGAGUAAUGCUUAGGAAUCUACCCAGUAGCGGGGGAUAACUCGAAGAAAUUCGAGCUAAUACCGCAUACGUCCUACGGGAGAAAGCGGGGGACCUUCGGGCCUCGCACUAUUGGAUGAGCCUAAGUCGGAUUAGCUGGUUGGUAGGGUAAAAGCCUACCAAGGCAACGAUCCGUAGCUGGUCUGAGAGGAUGAUCAGCCACACUGGGACUGAGACACGGCCCAGACUCCUACGGGAGGCAGCAGUGGGGAAUAUUGGACAAUGGGCGCAAGCCUGAUCCAGCAAUGCCGCGUGUGUGAAGAAGGCCUGCGGGUUGUAAAGCACUUUUAUUAGGAAAGAAAAACCCGGAGUUAAUAGCUCCGGCAUUGACGGUACCUAAGGAAUAAGCACCGGCUAACUCAGUGCCAGCAGCCGCGGUAAUACUGAGGGUGCGAGCGUUAAUCGGAAUUACUGGGCGUAAAGCGAGUGUAGGCGGCUACCUAAGUCGGAUGUGAAAGCCCUGGGCUUAACCUGGGAAUUGCAUUCGAAACUGAGUAGCUAGAGUCUGAUAGAGGGAAGUGGAAUUCCGGGUGUAGCGGUGAAAUGCGUAGAUAUCCGGAGGAACACCAGUGGCGAAGGCGGCUUCCUGGAUCAAGACUGACGCUGAGGCUCGAAAGCGUGGG
rnacentral:rRNA from 1 species